rnacentral:rRNA from 1 species
CAGUCGCCGCGGUAAUACGAAGGGUGCAAGCGUUAAUCGGAAUUACUGGGCGUAAAGCGUGCGUAGGCGGUUUGUUAAGUCUGUUGUGAAAUCCCCGGGCUCAACCUGGGAAUGGCAAUGGAUACUGGCAAGCUAGAGUGUGUCAGAGGAUGGUGGAAUUCCCGGUGUAGCGGUGAAAUGCGUAGAGAUCGGGAGGAACAUCAGUGGCGAAGGCGGCCAUCUGGGACAACACUGACGCUGAGGCACGAAAGCGUGGGGAGCAAACAGGAUUAGAUACCCAGUAGUCCCUGUCUCUUAUACA